AUACCAUCUUCUGUUUCCUUUAUUAAUUUCUGGGCAAAUAACAAAGUGUUGGUUUUGACCAGCCAGAACCCAUCUAGCAACUGUCACCCAGAAGAACUUUUCUUCAGCUGCCUCAAGAUUGUGAAAUGAUCUGACGGAAGAGCUUCAACAGAGUACUAAGUGCAAAGCAGAAUCUCUGGUAUAUGAUUGAAGUCUUUAAAAAAAUUCUAAGCAUCAGUGGUUCACAUAGUGUCUGUGGAUACAUUCGUGUUGAAGCAUGUUACUGAGUUUCAGCUGCAGAGUGACAACUAAGGAGAAGAGGAGAUUAUGGACGUCAUCACACUGAGGUCAAUAAGCUGGGAGGCAACAGGGGAAUUAGCCAUGCAGCGUGAUUAAUCUGGUGAGCAGCAAUGAAAACCAUUGCCCCAUGCCUCGCAUCACCCACUGCAUCCCUUACCUUUUCCCACUGAGGAAAGUAUAACCAGCUGGCUUCUCCCCAUUCUACUUAAUGAGAACAUGGGAAGCCUCCUGUGUUCUCAGGGAAAUGUCCUAGCAUGCUGCCAGGAUGCUCCCUUGACGAAGCCCUGCCGGAAGUAGCCUUACAUGGUGUGAUGACAUCUGGCAGGCUCCAUCGAGGAAAUGUCCUGGCAGUGUACUAGAACAUUUAAAAGUCUCUUUGUGAUUAAGUGGUAUGUUCUUAUGAGAAGCGAUUUGUGAGAGAAGUAGAAGCCGGCAUGACCAACAGCACUACCAAAGCCAGUAUGCCAACCAGUGUCCGCUGCCUAUCACAUACUGCAUCCUGCUCAUGAACUGUCAGUAGCCGGAGGUUUUUCACAGUUGCCAGAAAUUCAGCUUUUACACAGUGGCUUUUGCAAUAUUGUUAAAAGCAUGGAACUUCAGUAACAAUAAGAACAAAACCAACACCAAAAACAAGUGCCAACUCUACUUCCACAUUAGUUUGAGAAAAAAAUACCACCCUCCCAAAAAAAACCCUUAACAUAAUUCAAUUGCCAGUGAAUAAACUUU